rnacentral:rRNA from 1 species
CCUACGGGAGGCAGCAGUGAGGAAUCUUGCGCAAUGGGGGAAACCUUGACGCAGCGACGCCGCGUGAGCGAUGAAGGCCUUCGGGUCGUAAAGCUCUGUCAGGUGGGAAGAAACGCCGUUGGGUGAAUAGCCCUUCGGCCUGACGGUACCACCAGAGGAAGCACCGGCCAACUCCGUGCCAGCAGCCGCGGUAAUACGGAGGGUGCAAGCGUUGUUCGGAAUCAUUGGGCGUAAAGGGCGCGUAGGCGGUCCGGUAAGUCGGGUGUAAAAGCCCCGGGCUCAACCCGGGAAGUGCAUUCGAAACUGCCGGACUUGAGUACGGGAGGGGGAAGUGGAAUUCCUGGUGUAGGGGUGAAAUCCGUAGAUAUCAGGAGGAACACCGGUGGCGAAGGCGACUUCCGGGACCGAUACUGACGCUGAGGCGCGAAAGCGUGGGGAGCAAACAGGAUUAGAUCCCCCGGUAGU